UUCUCCUUCUUCAAACGGCGACGACGCAGCCUUCAUCCCUCCGAUUCAAAUCAACGACUACCAUCUUCUUCCGUUUAUGGCGAAAGGCCUGCCAGCUCCCUCUGGUGAGACCUUCUUCUUCUCCAAUCUCUCUUUCUCUGAUGGCGAGCUCGCGACGGAUUUGGUGAUGUUGGUGUUGAACCUUGUCGUUGAAUCUUUGUUCGAUUUGAUGAUGAAAGUUGUGUUGUUGUGUUGUCGGGUUCGUUGAAGACGAACAAUGAUGAACACGUUUUGAUGAUGAUGAAAGUGUUUCUGUUCAGAAUCUGAGAGUGUGUUGCAAUUUGGUGAUGAUGAGGUUCAAAAGGAGAUUGCAGAAUCUAAUUGCCGGAGCUUUCAAGCCUCCUUGCAAUAUCUCAAUCUCUUUUGCUGAUGGAAGAACGCACAAGCAGGUUCGCGUGAAAAAGGAAAAUGACCAUCCAGUUAUGGCUCCUCUCUUUCAAAAUCAAGAGAAUAUAGUUGGGGAG